GAUGACACUUUUCGGAGCGUAAACUCCUUUUAUCAGGAAAGAAUAAUGACGGUACCUGAUGAAUAAGCACCGGCUAACUCCGUGCCAGCAGCCGCGGUAAUACGGGGGGUGCAAGCGUUACUCGGAAUCACUGGGCGUAAAGGACGCGUAGGCGGAUUAUCAAGUCUUUUGUGAAAUCUAGUGGCUUAACCACUAAACUGCUUAGGAAACUGAUAGUCUAGAGUAGGGGAGAGGUAGAUGGAAUUCUUGGUGUAGGGGUAAAAUCCGUAGAGAUCAAGAAGAAUACCCAUUGCGAAAGCGAUCUGCUGGAACCUAACUGACGCUGAGGCGUGAAAGCGUGGGUAGCAAACAGGAUUAGAUACCCUGGUAGUCCACGCCCUAAACGAUGUAUACUAGUUGUUGCUUUGCUAGUCAAGGCAGUAAUGCAGCUAACGCAUUAAGUAUACCGCCUGGGGAGUACGGUCGCAAGAUUAAAACUCAAAGGAAUAGACGGGGACCCGCACAAGCGGUGGAGCAUGUGGUUUAAUUCGAAGAUACGCGAAGAACCUUACCUGGACUUGACAUCCUAAAAACAUCUAAGAGAUUAGAAAGUGCUAGUUUACUAGAAUUUAGUGACAGGUGCUGCACGGCUGUCGUCAGCUCGUGUCGUGAGAUGUUGGGUUAAGUCCCGCAACGAGCGCAACCCACGUGUUUAGUUGCUAACAGCUCGGCUGAGCACUCUAAACAGACUGCCUUCGUAAGGAGGAGGAAGGUGUGGACGACGUCAAGUCAUCAUGGCCCUUAUGUCCAGGGCGACACACGUG
rnacentral:rRNA from 1 species